GGGACCCGGAAGUGGGGGGCUGCGGCGGGAGGUGAGGGCCGCCUGCCUGGCCGGACCCCAGGGGUGUCGGACGGUGGGCAGGGCCUCCUGGGAUCCCUGAGGCGCCGGCAGGAGGAGACGCCCUGGGGUCGGUGCCUCCACCUUCCCGUCCGGGCGGUUACAGCUUUCCCGCGUUCGCUGUCAGAGGCAGGGACCGGCGACCUCGGGGGCCUGGUCCCUGAGCCACAGCGGGGAGUCGUCCGAGCAUCUCGGGAUGAGGAAGAUCAAGUUGAAUCAAAAAAGAGGAAAGAAAGCCCAUCGCGUGUGACAGACAAGAAAGUGCUACCGUUAAAAGGCAAACAGUUCUAGAGUGUGAGUGUAAUAUCAGGAUGAUUUGACUGCAAGCAACAGAGAAUCAAACAGAAAUGGCCUAGGGAGUCCCUUCGUGGCUCCCCAGUUAACAAUCUGACUGGAUCAUGAGGAUGCAGGUUCAAUCCCCGGCCUCUAUCAGUGGGUGAAGGAUCUAGUGCUACCAUGAGCUGUGCUGUGGUGUAGGCUGGCGGCCGCAGCUCCAGUUGGACCCCUAGCCCGGGAACUUCCAUAUGCUGUGGGUGCAGCCCUAAAAAGCAAAAACAAACAAAAAAAUGAAACAAAACAAAACAAAAAAUCCACAAAAAAAUCAGAAAUGGCCUAAACAAAGAAGAAAACGUGUUAUCCCAUACUACAAGAAGUUUGGGGAUUGAGUGAGUGGUUAAAUGCAUGAUUAGUUUAGAAACUUGACAGCACCACCCAGGACCCAUUUUCCCUAAGGCGCUGCUGCCCCCCACCCUGUAGGCUUAGCCACCGCAGCAAAGACACCCCCCUUCCCCAACCAGAGCCCUGCGUCAGGACUGGAAGGGGCCUCCUUCCCUCCAUCCCCUUCCAGAACCUCCGCAGAAGACUCCCCUUGACGUCUCAUUCCAUCCCAUACUGGUCACUUUGCAGGGGAACGGAUUUACCAUGGUGGCCAGAGACAAUUAAGUCGCCCCCAUCUCUGGAGAACACUUGACCACUCAGUACCCAGCAACUCGGGUACUCCUGGCAAGAAAGAGACAGGUGAUACCCACUGGGUCCUGUCCACAGCGCCUGCCCCCAGCAACCUGUCUACCUGGAAAACUGAGGGGGUGCCACGCGGGUCUGUGUCUUCUCUGUAGUUUGCCCGAGUCUUUCCCAUUAGGUAAGUGUCGCCCUUUUCCCUCUUUGCGGCUUUCCUCCUUGGCACGUCACCCAGGUUUUGUUCAGCCACAAGGGGCGAUAGGCUGAAAGAGGAAUCUCCAGGCCUAGGUGAUGGGCCAGCCGUGGUGAUCCUCACCCGUUUGCCUGGGCACCGUUUGGGAAACGUCCCCCUGCUCACCACGGAGAUGAAAGACCAGGUCCCUGGAGGGGCUUCGCGGAAGGAUUUUUCUCCCCAGUAAAGCGGCAGACAAGCCAAGGGUCCGCCGCCCUACGCGCCGUCUGCCUUGAGCCGCCGCCAGCUCACAUCCUUGAGCAGAAACGUUGCAGGGAGGCAGAAAGCGCCGAGUCUCAUGGAUCGUGCUGAGCGUUGCAUCCACCCAGGACUGCUUACCUUCAGACUUCUGCUCCGGUGGCAGAGCAGCAAACCCCUAUUGUGUAAGCCUUUGUAGAUGGCUGGUGCCACUUGCUGCUGAAAGUGACAGAUAAUCUUUCUAGGAAUAUAACCCCUAAAGCCCUUUAUGGUAACAGAUGCACUUAGAGAAUGUAGUUUUCUUUCUUUUUCUUACUUAAAAAAAAAAAAAAAAAAAGCUGAAGUCUGCCUCAGGCAAAAAGACAAACUGAAAACAUAUGUAUGCAUAAUUGAAGUGCAAUCAAUAUUCAUUAGAAAAUGAACGAAUGUUCUUCAGGUUACUUUAAUAGUUUUCUCGGGAAUCUGUUUUUGGAUACGUAUGUCAGCUACAAUAUUUGGCACUUCCAGGAGCUCUGUGUUGAUGUCCUUCCUAGAAGUUGCACUUCUGCGCAUUUUUCUGCGCCUUUGGGGUCUCAGAUGUUCCUGGAAGGAAUCACUUUUCACUCCCCUGGCUUUUCCCUCGAACAGGUAACUUGUAACUUGCUGUUGCCUAUAGAUAUCGAGCAUUUGUCCAAAAAUAUGUUCCUACAAUACCUUCCUGUCUCAGCCAUUCCAUUCACAAGACAGUUUAAACAUUUCUCCAUGCUAUUCCACAGAUCAUUCAUAGAGGAACCAUCUGAACCAUGCAACAAAGUCUAGAAACUUUUAUGACUUUUAACUUCCACGACAAGUUAUCAUGUACUUGGUACCCUCAGCCAGGUACAUGUUAAGCUCAGGUUUCAUGUAUGUUAGCGUGGAGCCAUAUUUCCUUGUGGAUAAACCUAUAGAUUUAUCCCCACCCCCACUUCCCUUCCCAGAAGUAACUGUUGCCUUGACAACAGGGUAAGGACAGCAGUGAUGACGGCUGUGAUAACGAUUAUGAUAAUGAUGGCAGGAGAAACUGUAUGCUGGCCAUUAUCUAAGCACUUUACAUGCAUUAGCUCCUUUAACGCCCAAGGAGGCAUGUGACAGAAAUGCUAUUUUUAUCCCCGUGUUAGAGAUGAGGGCUGAGGAAAGACUGGUGAGGUGCCUUGCCCAAGGCCACACGUCUGGUCCCCAGAGAAGCCAGGCUUCCUACCCAGGCAACCCAGGGGUCCCAUACACUGUCGCUGCCUGAUAGGUAGCAGUGGUGGUGAUACACACUUCCUCUAGGUACAUGCGCAUCCAUAAUAAAGACGCAGUAGACUUAUUUGCAUAUUUUAAAAAGUGUAUGGUUUCAGAACAUUUGUUGUUUUUCCCUGUUAUGAAUCGUGUCGCAGUAAACGUCUCGCGUGCAUC
rnacentral:lncRNA from 9 species